CUAGAUACAAGCGAGCGGCGGACGGGUGAGUAACACGUGGGUAACCUGCCCAAGAGACUGGGAUAACACCUGGAAACAGAUGCUAAUACCGGAUAACAACACUAGACGCAUGUCUAGAGUUUGAAAGAUGGUUCUGCUAUCACUCUUGGAUGGACCUGCGGUGCAUUAGCUAGUUGGUAAGGUAACGGCUUACCAAGGCAAUGAUGCAUAGCCGAGUUGAGAGACUGAUCGGCCACAUUGGGACUGAGACACGGCCCAAACUCCUACGGGAGGCAGCAGUAGGGAAUCUUCCACAAUGGACGAAAGUCUGAUGGAGCAACGCCGCGUGAGUGAAGAAGGGUUUCGGCUCGUAAAGCUCUGUUGGUAGUGAAGAAAGAUAGAGGUAGUAACUGGCCUUUAUUUGACGGUAAUUACUUAGAAAGUCACGGCUAACUACGUGCCAGCAGCCGCGGUAAUACGUAGGUGGCAAGCGUUGUCCGGAUUUAUUGGGCGUAAAGCGAGUGCAGGCGGUUCAAUAAGUCUGAUGUGAAAGCCUUCGGCUCAACCGGAGAAUUGCAUCAGAAACUGUUGAACUUGAGUGC
rnacentral:rRNA from 1 species